AGCUCUCUCUAAGAGGAGACACAGGACUCAGACUGAAGCAGUUUAUGAAGAGAUUGAUCACAGACACACAAACACACACAAACACUUCACUCAGAGAGAGGACAUGCUAGAUGAUUAUGAUGAUGUCAUCAUUAUUGGACACAGUUCUCGAGCUAUAACAGAGGAAGUUCAUGAGGAGUAUGAUGAUGUGAAGAAUAUCAGUGCAGAUGUGAGAAAUCUGAUGGAAAGGAGGAGUCAACCAAAGACGGAGGUUCAAUUCAAUAAGCACAACCAAUGAUUCUGUUCAUUAAAUCAUAUUUAUUGAUCCUUCGUGAAGUUUGAGAUUUCUUUUAGUUUUCUUAUAUUGUUACAGUAC